rnacentral:misc_RNA from 1 species
GCCCAAAUGCCCAUCAUCAAGGUCCCAGCUUUAUGCGUAAUAUAUAAAUGUGUGUUUGUUCUUGUGGUUGAAUGUGAGUUUAAAUGGAUUUGUGGAGGAUUGGAUUCUCGCUUGGAUGCCAGUUUGGUUGCGAUUGCUAUAAAUCCAAUUUCGCGCAAAAACCAAAUAUUUACAAUUUUAAAAUUUGAAUUUUAUUCCAAUUCUACACAAUCAAACGCUCUUGAGGCUCAUUUGGAUUUGUUUUUGUCUGUUUCGUUUCUGAUUCAGUUUUCUGUUUGCGAUGAAUGUGGGUUUUAAAGGAUGUCAUUCGUGAUGGAUGCUUUGAUGCAUUGAAUUUUCUGUAGAAGCCAUGUGAAUUUGGUUUGAUACUUGUAUCUUCAUUUUUAUUUCCAUAGUUUUUUCUUUUAACACUAUCAGUUACAGAGUUGCUUGACUAGUGAGUCCUUAAUAUGUUUCUUUAGAGGAGUUCCCUCGAAUGUUUCACGAGUUAUGAAAAUAUUGGAACUUUACAAAUGUAAGUUAUGAACUGAAACUCUUUUCAUCAACAUUCCAAAUAUUUAGAUUCAUUUUAAAUUCUUUUAUUCAUUGGAGAUUCAUUCCAAAUAAUGUGCUUAAAUGUGAAAAUAUUGGAACUUUUUGAAUGCUUUCACUAUGAACUGAAAUUCUUUUCUAUGUACAAAUUUGCGAGAUGUGCUACAAUUCUUUCACAAAUUACUAUAAGUUGUAUUUGCAAUGAUCUACUUGUAUAAAUUCUGCGUGUAGGAUCCAAGUCGCUUAGUUGCUCUCAUAAUUUAUCAUGCUACUAGUUUAUGUUUUUGAAAUUUUAGCUUCUAAUAUUAGUGGAUCCUAACUGAAAUUUGCUUCAGUUUAUUGAUGUGGAGCAUUUACAGUAAUCACAUAAUUUACUUGGAGCCUUGUAUUCCAAAUUGAUUUAGUUUCUUAUAAAGAAAUGGAUUGUGAAACUUUUGUUCAUUUUGAUUAACCACAUGACAGGUGGGAAGGA